UACUGUUCCAGCAACUCAGUGAGUAAGAUUUACACGGCGGGGGGAGGACCAGAAGAAUCCUUGGUAUCAGAGAGAACGCUCUCUCUCUCUCUCUCUCUCUUUCUUUCUUUCUUUCUUUCUUUCUUUCUUUCUUUUUUGAAGCUUUGAUAAGUCUCUGAAUGUCAUGUGGCAAACCUGCAGCUUGGCCUUCAUGCAGGACUCCCAACAAUUGGAGCAGGGGAUGUAUGUGCCUGACUCUGUUGCCUGCCUGUGAAUCCUGUUCUCCUAACUGGGCUGCCUUGCCUGGCCUCGGUGGGAAAGGCUGUGCCUAGUCCUGCAGUGACUUGAUAUACAAGCAUGAGAGAGGAAACCUGAAGUCUGAAGUUAAAGUGUCUUCAGGUGUGGUUCCUUCUAUGGACCUGAAUUCCAUGGACUUAGAGAAGGAAGCAUAGAAGGAAAGACUCCAUAGCUCUCUCCCAGGUUCUGGGAGUCACUGGGGAUGUGCCCUCUUUACUGUGCUGCCAGAGAAGUCUAGAGUGUGACUAAUGGAAGUCUCACUAGUGGACAGACAGUAUAUGAGCCUCUCACAUUUGGAAAUGAUUCCAAGUGACCUUGGAUGACCAUGAGGCUGCCUUCUCAUUCUUACUAUGAAGAUGGUGCCUGGGAAAAGUCAUUAUGGGCUGGUGAGAUGACUCAGCAGCUGUUCAUCUCUGAAAAUAUUUCCCUAAGCUAAAAUGUCCCAGAACAAAUUCAACUAUCUCUGAAAUUUCAACUUAAGAAAUGUAUUCUGUGAAUGGUAUGAGUACAUACUAUAUAAAUGAAAUGUUCUUAGAAGCCAGAAGAAUGGAUCAGAUCCCUGAAACUGGAGUUCCAGCCCGAGAGGUCUUAAACUUCCAGUGUGGAUGGCUAGUCCUCACUUCUUUAUCCAGGCAACACACAGCACGGAUGGACAGAAAACCAAACACCUUUGCCAAGAACAAUUACUGAGGGUGUGAAACGAUGAAGACAUAGAGAAUACUGCUGCAUAGAAAUGUUCACAGUUCUUCAAUUUCCAAAAGGAAUUCAGAGGGAGAACUUGGAUUAAUGUAAAUAAUGUGAUUUUUUUGAAAUACAAAUGAAUAUUGAUUGAGAGGGUUGAAAUGGGACAAGAGAGUGAAGACCAGCCAAACCCAAACACCUACAGAGAGCACACAGAUAUGAAUGUUAGGGGCCCUUUCUGAGGUCUCUCUCUUUGGAGUGUAGAUACAGCUGAUACAUAACCAUCAGGAGCUCAGGUGGGAUCCACAGUCAUAGGACACCCAAGAGGAAAGAGCAAAAUCAAACAUAAAGGCUCCCAUCUUAUGAACAAGAGGCUUUUGCAACCUUCACUAAUUUGUAGGGAGAAAUACAAAUGCAAUCUAAACAUGAUUAAAUAUCCAAGGUGAUCACCAAAUUGAAAAUGAAUUAUCAAAAGUUCAGAUACCUUUGUCUUGCUACCCAGUCCACCCUUGUUUAUUUUUAAACCUUGCAAAGCUGAGUUCUUUGCCUGUGCUCCAAGGUCUCAAGCCUUUCUCAGGUCCGCGGAGAGGCUGUGCAGCAAGGAUAAACAAAACAGUCCACAGCACAGAAGAUAUCCUGGGAGCACCACGAGGCUUGAGAGUGAAAGGUAUCGGGAAAGGAGUUUUCUCUUUCGGUUAACAGCUGCUUAAGCUGCUAUCUGGGGAAUGCUUUUACAGAAAAACCCAGGUCAACCUAUACCAGGUCAACUCCCUGCCUUGGAGAAUGAACAUACGGGAUCCCAUUCAGCACAAAAUGCAACACUCUUCACACAGAAAUCAAUCAAUAUAUGCUGUUGGCUGGUGCCCGAGUUUACUUAAUGUCUCCCCUUUUAUGUGGCUCAAACUGCUUUGACAGGACAGAUUCACUGAGAUUUUGAGCAACCCACUGUUGAAGAGAAAGCAGCUUCUCCUUCCUCAUGACUACGCAAAUGUGACAAAGGGUGGAGAGAGUAGAUAUAUCUAUUUGGCUCUUGUCCCUUGUCUAUACUGGCGAAGCCAUAAUACCUGCUUAGAAUGUACUUUCCUUUGUAGUAAAUGAAGCAUUUGAAACUAGGUAGGUACUUCCAAGGUGAAGGUUUCUUUCAUUUUAAAAAUAAGUUUUGAGAGCAAAUGGCAAUCUUGCUUCAAACAACAACAACAACAACAACAACAACAAUCCCUCUGCAGUGUUAUCACAGCACCUUAAUCAUUGUCAUUAAGCUCUACCUGCAUGAUGUUGAACAUUUUUACAACCACGAUUGCCUUGGACACAAACACUAAGCACAGGAGACCGCUGCUAUUGUCUCCAUUUUCUGUGAGGAAAUGUGCAGGGAGAGGCUAAGCAAGUUUCUAAGAUUAUACAGCUGUGAGUGGUAGCUAUGUCCUAUUCACUGGCACGGCAAAUUCCUAAAAUUAUUCUCCCUUCUUCUAAUAUCCUCCAGUCUCACCUUCUCCCAGCCAACACAAGCAUGCACUUACAUGCUGCAAAGUCUGGCUUAUUGGAAGACUGGAACAUGGCAUACAUUAUGCUGCAUAAAAUCUGAGCUCUCGCAGCCGGGCGUGGUGGCUCACGCCUUUAAUCCCAGCACUCAGGAGGCAGAGGCAGGCAGAUUUCUGAGUUCGAGGCCAGCCUGGUCUACAAAGUGAGGUCCAGGACAGCCAGGGCUAUACAGAGAAACUCUGUCUCGAAAAAAAUCUGAGCUCUCAUAUAUAGCUGAUGAGCUAUGGAUAGUUGUUGGCUGGUUAGGGAGGAAAAGCCAGUUUCCUUUAAAUGUGCGGUCCCUGGAUCUCCCAAGAAAGGUGAAAUAGAUUAUAGUUCUAUGGAGAGAUAAAGGGGAAACUAGAAUAAGAAGAUUUAAAGGGAGAUGGGAGAGCAGGGUAAAAGCAGGACUUUGGGAGGGACAAGUAGCACUAAGGAUCCUUUGAAAAUUGUAAGGAAACUUACUGCUGUAGAAGUUUCCUAAAACAUACACCCGUGAAUAGAACAUAAAAGCAGUUACCUGAAUUUUUGAUCUUAGCCAUUCUGACUGGUGUGAGGUGGAAUCUCAGGGUUGUUUUGAUUUGC
rnacentral:lncRNA from 1 species